UACGGGGGGGGGCAAGCGUUGUUCGGAAUUACUGGGCGUAAAGGGCUCGUAGGCGGCCAACUAAGUCGGAUGUGAAAUCCCCAAGCUUAACUUGGGAACUGCAUCCGAUACUGGAUGGCUUGAAUCCGGGAGAGGGAUGCAGAAUUCCAGGUGUAGCGGUGAAAUGCGCAGAUAUCAGGAGGAACACCGGUGGCGAAGGCGGAUCUCUGGGCCAUUACUGACGCUGAGGAGCGAAAGCGUGGGGAGCGAACAGG
rnacentral:rRNA from 1 species